rnacentral:rRNA from 1 species
AGAGUUUGAUCCUGGCUCAGGAUGAACGCUAGCGGCAGGCCUAACACAUGCAAGUCGAGGGGUAUAGUAGCAAUACUAGAGACCGGCGCACGGGUGCGUAACGCGUAUGCAACCUACCUUUUACAGGGGAAUAGCCCAGAGAAAUUUGGAUUAAUGCCCCAUGGUAUAUCUAAGUGGCAUCACUUGAUUAUUAAAGUUCCAACGGUAAAAGAUGGGCAUGCGUCCUAUUAGCUAGAUGGUAAGGUAACGGCUUACCAUGGCUACGAUAGGUAGGGGUCCUGAGAGGGAGAUCCCCCACACUGGUACUGAGACACGGACCAGACUCCUACGGGAGGCAGCAGUGAGGAAUAUUGGACAAUGGGCGCAAGCCUGAUCCAGCCAUGCCGCGUGCAGGAAGACGCAUCUAUGGUGUGUAAACUGCUUUUGUACGGGAAGAAACACUCCUUCGUGAAGGAGCUUGACGGUACCGUAAGAAUAAGGAUCGGCUAACUCCGUGCCAGCAGCCGCGGUAAUACGGAGGAUCCAAGCGUUAUCCGGAAUCAUUGGGUUUAAAGGGUCCGUAGGCGGUUUGAUAAGUCAGUGGUGAAAGCCCAUCGCUCAACGAUGGAACGGCCAUUGAUACUGUCAGACUUGAAUUACUAGGAAGUAACUAGAAUAUGUAGUGUAGCGGUGAAAUGCUUAGAUAUUACAUGGAAUACCAAUUGCGAAGGCAGGUUACUACUAGUGGAUUGACGCUGAUGGACGAAAGCGUGGGGAGCGAACAGGAUUAGAUACCCUGGUAGUCCACGCCGUAAACGAUGGAUACUAGCUGUUCGGGGCAACCUGAGUGGCUAAGCGAAAGUGAUAAGUAUCCCACCUGGGGAGUACGUUCGCAAGAAUGAAACUCAAAGGAAUUGACGGGGGCCCGCACAAGCGGUGGAGCAUGUGGUUUAAUUCGAUGAUACGCGAGGAACCUUACCAAGGCUUAAAUGUAGAUUGACAGGUUUGGGAACAGACUUUUCUUCGGACAAUUUACAAGGUGCUGCAUGGUUGUCGUCAGCUCGUGCCGUGAGGUGUCAGGUUAAGUCCUAUAACGAGCGCAACCCCUGUUGUUAGUUGCCAGCGAGUCAAGUCGGGAACUCUAACAAGACUGCCAGUGUAAACUGUGAGGAAGGUGGGGAUGACGUCAAAUCAUCACGGCCCUUACGCCUUGGGCUACACACGUGCUACAAUGGACGGUACAGAGAGCAGCCACUGGGUGACCAGGAGCGAAUCUACAAAACCGUUCUCAGUUC